UACGGGGGGAGCAAGCGUUGUUCGGAUUUACUGGGCGUAAAGGGCGCGUAGGCGGCGCAACAAGUCACUUGUGAAAUCUCCGGGCUUAACUCGGAGCGGCCAAGUGAUACUGUCGUGCUAGAGUGCGGAAGGGGCAACUGGAAUUCUCGGUGUAGCGGUGAAAUGCGUAGAUAUCGAGAGGAACACCUGCGGCGAAGGCGGGUAGCUGGGCCGACACUGACGCUGAGGCGCGAAAGCCAGGGGAGCGAACGGG
rnacentral:rRNA from 1 species